GAUGAACGCUGGCGGUAUGCCUUACACAUUCAAGUCGUCCGGAAAUCAAAUUUAUUUGAUUUUAGUGGCGGACGGGUGAGUAACACGUGAGAAUUUGCCUUUAGGAGGGGGACAACAUUUCGAAAGAUUUGCUAGAACCCCAUAUGCACUCGGGUGAAACAGAGUAAUCUGCCUAAAGAGAAGCUCGCGCCUGGUUAGCUAGAUGGUAGGGUAAUGGCCUACAAAGGCGACGACCAGUAGCUGGGCUGAGAGGAAGAUCAGCCACACUGGAACUGAGACACGGUCCAGACUCCUACGGGAGGCAGAAGUGAGGAAUUUUCUGCAAUGGGCGAAAGCCUGACAGAGCAAUACCGCGUGAGGGAUGAAGGCUUACUGAGUUGUAAACCUCUUUUUUCAAGGAAGAAGAUCUGACGUUACUUGAAGAAUAAGCAUCGGCUAACUCCGUGCCAGCCGCCGCUGUAA
rnacentral:rRNA from 1 species